rnacentral:sRNA from 1 species
GGUGAACCUGCGGAAGGAUCAUUACCACACCCUCAAAUACCUAGUUGUAGUCACUCUCGGGUGAUUACAUCCUGGUACGUCUCGUGAACCGUUAAAAUAUUGGAAAGGCCACUUUUGGUUUUAGUGGUCUUUCCGUUUUAAAUUUGUUCCACUCUUUGAGUGCGAUCAACCAUUGAUUAAAAGUCCAUAAGAAAAUAGAAAUAAAAAAUCACUUUCAGCAACGGAUGUCUAGGUUCCCACAACGAUGAAGAACGCAGCGAAAUGCGAUACGUCAUGCGAAUUGCAGAAUCAAGUGAGUCAUCAAAAUUUUGAACGCAUCUUGCACUGCCUCGGCAGUAUGUCUGUUGGAGUGUCUGUAUUUACCCACAACUCCUAAUUGGAGUUUAGACGGGCUUCCACGAUAUGAUUGCGUGGAAUCCUCAGAUGAAAAAAUGUUCGCCGUCUACUGUAGCAAGUUGACUCGUACGUCUGCAUUCAUAUGUAGAAAACAAGCAAGUUGUCUCAGAAAACAAGAACCAGAAAACAAGAACCAUAAUUCUAAUCGGACCUCCAAUCAGUCAAGAUUACCC